CUCCUCCUGCUGUGACAUUUCUGCUUUGCUGCCGGCUGACCAUGGACUGAAGGCUCUGAAACCAGCAGCCAGACUAACCCUCUCCUCCUCUACAUUGUAGCGUCCUCUGUUGAAUGGUGCUGCUCUCCAUGGCCACAGCACCUUCAGGAUCUUCUCCAGGCACUGUUGAUCUCCCCUCACUGGGCAGCCCGCCUCGGUCUCACGGCUCUGGAUCUCGGACGGUCCCUCACUGAAUCAAAGUACAUCUGAGGACUUAGAUUGGACCGAGGUGUUUCCUCUGCCCAACAGCACAGCGAUGCACAUUCCGGACAGCAGCUGAGCUCGCCUCCCAUGCCCGUGCUGGUGCCCCGUGAGCCAGGCAGGCUGUGCAGUAGCUCACAGCGGGCAGCUGAGACACAGCCCUGCCUCUGCAGCCCAGCCCAGGGAGAGCUGCUUGCAUCAACUCAGCUCACAGGGAUAGUUAUCUCCCGUAUUUCUCCUUGCAGAAAUCUAAAGUUAUCACAGGUUCUUUUCUACUUCUCUGUUUUUAUUUGUUAUGUGUAAUAUUUGUAUCUCUAUUUUACAAAAGAUACCAUUGUUCAAAGUUACUUGGUUGGUGAUC